rnacentral:rRNA from 1 species
UGAGCUUGAUCCUGCUCAGAUUGAACGCUGGCGGCAUGCCUUACACAUGCAAGUCGAACGGUAACAGGUCUUCGGAUGCUGACGAGUGGCGAACGGGUGAGUAAUACAUCGGAACGUGCCCGAUCGUGGGGGAUAACGGAGCGAAAGCUUUGCUAAUACCGCAUACGAUCUACGGAUGAAAGCAGGGGACCGCAAGGCCUUGCGCGGACGGAGCGGCCGAUGGCAGAUUAGGUAGUUGGUGGGAUAAAAGCUUACCAAGCCGACGAUCUGUAGCUGGUCUGAGAGGACGACCAGCCACACUGGGACUGAGACACGGCCCAGACUCCUACGGGAGGCAGCAGUGGGGAAUUUUGGACAAUGGGCGAAAGCCUGAUCCAGCCAUGCCGCGUGCAGGAUGAAGGCCUUCGGGUUGUAAACUGCUUUUGUACGGAACGAAAAGACUCCUUCUAAUAAAGGGGGUCCAUGACGGUACCGUAAGAAUAAGCACCGGCUAACU